GAAUCUGCCUGGUAGUGGGGGAUAACGUUCGGAAACGGACGCUAAUACCGCAUACGUCCUACGGGAGAAAGCAGGGGACCUUCGGGCCUUGCGCUAUCAGAUGAGCCUAGGUCGGAUUAGCUAGUUGGUGGGGUAAUGGCUCACCAAGGCGACGAUCCGUAACUGGUCUGAGAGGAUGAUCAGUCACACUGGAACUGAGACACGGUCCAGACUCCUACGGGAGGCAGCAGUGGGGAAUAUUGGACAAUGGGCGAAAGCCUGAUCCAGCCAUGCCGCGUGUGUGAAGAAGGUCUUCGGAUUGUAAAGCACUUUAAGUUGGGAGGAAGGGUUGUAGAUUAAUACUCUGCAAUUUUGACGUUACCGACAGAAUAAGCACCGGCUAACUCUGUGCCAGCAGCCGCGGUAAUACAGAGGGUGCAAGCGUUAAUCGGAAUUACUGGGCGUAAAGCGCGCGUAGGUGGUUUGUUAAGUUGGAUGUGAAAUCCCCGGGCUCAACCUGGGAACUGCAUUCAAAACUGACUGACUAGAGUAUGGUAGAGGGUGGUGGAAUUUCCUGUGUAGCGGUGAAAUGCGUAGAUAUAGGAAGGAACACCAGUGGCGAAGGCGACCACCUGGACUAAUACUGACACUGAGGUGCGAAAGCGUGGGG
rnacentral:rRNA from 1 species